rnacentral:rRNA from 1 species
GAACGACUCUCGGCAACGGAUAUCUCGGCUCUUGCAUCGAUGAAGAACGUAGCGAAAUGCGAUACUUGGUGUGAAUUGCAGAAUCCCGUGAUCCAUCGAGUCUUUGAACGCAAGUUGCACCCGAAGCCAUUAGGCCGAGGGCACGCCUGUCUGGGUGUCACAC